GCAGGGAAUAUUGUACAAUGGGCGAAAGCCUGAUACAGCGACGCCGCGUGAAGGAUGAAGACCCUCGGGUUGUAAACUUCUUUUCUCAGGGAAGAAAAAAAUGACGGUACCUGAGGAAUAAGUCACGGCUAACUACGUGCCAGCAGCCGCGGUAAUACGUAGGUGGCUAGCGUUAUCCGGAUUUAUUGGGCGUAAAGCGAGCGCAGGCGGCUUGGUAAGUCAGAUGUGAAAUCUCCCGGCUUAACUGGGAGGGGUCAUCUGAUACUGCCAGGCUUGAGGACAGUAGAGGGAGAUGGAAUUCCCGGUGUAGUGGUGAAAUACGUAGAUAUCGGGAGGAACACCAGUGGCGAAAGCGGUCUCCUAGGCUGUUUCUGACGCUUAGGCUCGAAAGCGUGGGGAGCAAACAGGAUUAGAUACCCUAGUAGUCC
rnacentral:rRNA from 1 species